rnacentral:lncRNA from 1 species
AUGUAAGCUGAACGGUCACCAGGUCACGGAAUUCCACCGGGAAUGGGAAGAGCCUCUGGAGCAGCACGCAAAGUCCUGCUAUCUGCAUUCUGUGGUUGGAGUGAGUUGGCACCAUCGUGGCUCACUGGUUCCACACUCCUUGACUCGGUAUUCAGCUCCAAUUUUCGUUCUGUUUAACUGAGAGGACUGCAUGGUUCACAGAGACCUGGAAAUACAACCAUUAGAAUUAAAUUACCACACAAGAGUGCCCUGAUGAUCUUCACAAAGACGCAGAACCCAUGUGCUUUUGGAGUUGUUUUAGCACCCCGUUUGGAGCCAAACAGUCUCACAACUCCCAUGAUGAUACCAGCUUUUUUUACACCUCUUGAAGUAGCAACAUGAGUUUUGUCUUCCAAAGGGUAAUUUUGAUUUCUUACAAAGGUAAGAAAGAAAAGUCUGGAAAAUGAUUAAAAUAAAAAGGCAGGCACACAAGGGGUAAAUACCUUCAAGAAAGCAGUGCCAUUGCUUAAAAUGAUGUAGAUGAGACAAUGAAAGAACCAAACUGUCACAGCAAAUUCUUUACAAAUUAAUGCCACGAUUCCUCAGUACUGUAGGCAUUAUAGUUCUGGAGAGGUUACAAAAACAACUUCCAUUCUGAUAACAUGGAAUCAUUAUAUUUUUAUAACUAUAUAGCUGACAGUAAAAGGAGCAACGAUAAUGAUUCUCAAAAAUGUAGGUAGAUUUGCAGAAUUCUAGGUGGACAGGUAUAGUUCAUGCAUAUUGACAAUUAGCAAUAUGGAAAUAGUCCUUAUGGAACUUAUGUGCUACACAAAAUACAACUUAAAGUUGGUUACGCAUCAGUUUCCUUUCAAUUGAGAUCUUCUGAAUUUUUGGAUUGAAGUUCUUAUACAUUACAUGGAUUCAGUAUACCCAAUCUGAUUGCUGGGGUUUUUUUGGAUGCAUUUUUAAGUCUUAUGAAAUGAGUAUAUUAUUAUUUUUAAUAAUGCUUUUAUAUUAGCUAUUGGAUAAUUUUAAACCUGCAAUAGAGAACGUUUGGAAUAAUUGUCAAAGGAUAAUAACAUAUAUACUAUGAUUUAAAUAUUUGUGUCCUCCGAACUCAUAUUGAAAUUGAAUUGCCAGCAUAAUGGUACUGGGAGGGGGGCCUUUAAGAAGUAAUUGGGCCAUGAAGCCUCCACCUUCAUGGUUGAGUUUAAU